UACGAAGGGGGCUAGCGUUGCUCGGAAUUACUGGGCGUAAGGCGCACGUAGGCGGUCUUUUAAGUCGGGGGUGAAAUCCUGGAGCUCAACUCCAGAACUGCCUUCGGUACUGGAAGACUCGAGUCCGGGAGAGGUGAGUGGAACUGCGAGUGUAGAGGUGAAAUUCGUAGAUAUUCGCAAGAACGCCAGUGGCGAAGGCGGCUCACUGGCCCGGUACUGACGCUGAGGUGCGAAAGCGUGGGGAGCAAACAGG
rnacentral:rRNA from 1 species